rnacentral:lncRNA from 1 species
UGGGUCAGGCCCUGGGCAGGGAGGAGGAGGUCGAGGUGGUGGCCAGGCAUGAAGCCCAGGUGAGCAGAGAGGCCAUGGUGGCUGCCAGCGAGGCAACAAGGGCCAUCAUGGUGAGACAGCGGGUGGAGGCGUCCCUGGGGCUGCUGGAGCGCUUGGUGGCCGCGUGUGACGAAGCCACUGCCUUACCCCGGGAGCUGCAGCGCAGGGUUGGGGACAUCAAGGCCGCCCUGAUAUGGACAAAUGAGGGAUUCUUUGAUAUCCUCGAGGACUGGGUGGCCAAGGGGGCCGAAGCCGAGCAGCUGUGGGAGGCCAACGCCCGCCUGGCCAAGGAUCACCUGCUGGGGGCAGUUCCAGACACCAUCCAGUUGUUCACUGGUGGUCGCACCAGCCCCAGUGCCUGUGGGGUGGCCGAGAGGUGCCAAUGAGCCACCGAGGACAUCCCAAGGCUCCUUCGACCCCCGGAGUGUCCCCAGAGUGUCCCUAGUGAGCCUGGAGCUCCAAAAUGUGUCCCCUCCUCAGCUGCUGGAGGCUCUGGUGUCUGUGGUGGCCACCCUGGGUGACGUGGUGGCCACUGUGACUGGGCCACGCCAGGGCGUGCGGUGCUGUGUGCCCCCAAAGUCCCUGCAUGUGGCCCUGAGGAUCUUCACCUGGAGCCUCUGUAAGGGCCUGGAACACCCCGGUGUCACCUCCCUGGGCCAGCCCCUGGCCACCCUCGGGGCCACCCCGAGGGCCACCUGGGCCAAUGUGAGAGCCACGGGCAGCACCUGGUGGGAGUUGGUGUCUGCACUUGAGAAGAGCUGGGACCAGGUGGCCAGGGAGGCCACUGAGCUCCGUGACACCUGCGAGAACACAGCCCCUGCCCGGACCAGGGACCCACAGGACAAGGCCACCCACAGGGGGACAGCUGAGGACAACCUGGCAGCCACAGCCCACCAGCUCAUGGUGGCCCUGGACAGGGAUGGGGAGGCCUCAGUGGGGGCCACACGUGAUGCCCAGAUGGCAAUGGCCCCCAGCGAGGCCAUGGAAGAGAAUAUGGUGGCCACCAGGCGGGCGAGGGCAGCCAUCAGGAGGAGACCUUGGGCAGAGGUGGCCCUGGAGUCGCUGCAGCGCUUGGUGGCCACCUGUGACAGAGCCAGGUUGUUCCUCUCGGAACUGCAGUGCGGGCUUGGGGAAGUCAAGGCUGCCCUGGAGGGGACAAAUGAUGCAUCCCCCGAUGUCCCUGAGGCCUUGGUGGCUGUGGUGGCCAAGUUUGAGCAGCUGUGGGAGGCCAGCGCCCACCUGUUCAAGCAUCACCUGCUGGGGACACUUGGGGACAUCCAUGACCUCCUCUUGAGUCCCUAUGAUGGCCGCGGUGGCCCCAAUGGCCCUGGCAUCCGUGCGGUGGCCGAGCGGUGCCAAAAAGCCAUCGAGGACAUCCCGAGGCUGCUGCAGAGACAGUGAUGUCACCACUGUGAUGUCAUCAUGGCAGUGACAUCAUUGGGGACAUGGCUGCUGUCACCUGUGCCCUCCCCGUGCAGUAUUUGAGAUAAAUCUGGGGAAUUUUCAUUGAAAUUGCCCCAAUCCUCAUGGGAAUUCCUGGAUUGACAUCUCUGGGGACACUCAGGGGACACUCAGGGACAGUCUGGGGACACUCAGGGACACUUGGGACACUCAGAGAUACUCAGGGACACACUGAUGACACUCAGGGACAGGGACAGGGUUGAAUGAGUCCCCUCAGCAGCUUCCAGGUUUCCACUGUGCCCGCAGAUCAGCUGGAUCAUAAAUGACAAUUUAAUAAUUGCCUUUUGCAUUUUUUGAUUUCCUUUUGCACAUUGUUAUUAAUCACAAACAAUUUGAUACGGUAUUUGAUACUGAUAUUGAUUAUCGGUGAUUCCUUGUAGCUGCUGGUUGUUGCAAUAUAAUCUGUUAGUUCAUGUGUGCACCGUACAGCCUGUAAGUUAAUUAAUUAACUAAAUAAUUAAUAAUAUCGUCUAUAUAAAUCAGACCAGGCUCAUCUGAACUCUGUGUCAGACACAUCACUGACCCCAUUGAGAGUCAAGUGGUCAAUAAAUCCAUCCCAAACUUCCUUGGGGGGAGCA